UACAGAGGUCUCAAGCGUUGUUCGGAUUCAUUGGGCGUAAAGGGUGCGUAGGUGGCGCCGUAAGUCGGGUGUGAAAUUUCGAGGCUUAACCUCGAAACUGCAUUCGAUACUGCGGUGCUUGAGGACUGGAGAGGAGACUGGAAUUCAUGGUGUAGCAGUGAAUGCGUAGAGAUCAUGAGGAAGACCAGUGGCGAAGGCGGGUCUCUGGACAGUUCCUGACACUGAGGCACGAAGGCCAGGGGAGCAAACGGG
rnacentral:rRNA from 1 species